rnacentral:rRNA from 1 species
ACUCCUACGGGAGGCAGCAGUAGGGAAUAUUGCACAAUGGGCGCAAGCCUGAUGCAGCAACGCCGCGUGAGGGACGAAGGCCUUCGGGUCGUAAACCUCUUUUCUGAGGGACGAGUAAGGACGGUACCUCAGGAAUAAGUCUCGGCUAACUACGUGCCAGCAGCCGCGGUAAU